AACGUAGGAGGCGAGCGUUAUCCGGAUUUACUGGGCGUAAAGCGCGUGCAGGCGGCAGCGCAAGUUGGGCGUGAAAUCUCCCGGCUCAACCGGGAGGGGCCGUCCAAUACUGCGCCGCUCGAGGGCAGGAGAGGGAAGUGGAAUUCCCGGUGUAGCGGUAAAAUGCGCAGAUAUCGGGAGGAACACCAGUGGCGAAGGCGGCUUCCUGGCCUGCUCCUGACGCUAAGACGCGAAAGCUAGGGGAG
rnacentral:rRNA from 1 species